rnacentral:rRNA from 2 species
GACGAACGCUGGCGGCGUGCCUAAUACAUGCAAGUCGAGCGGAUCUCAAGGAGCUUGCUCCUUGAGAUUAGCGGCGGACGGGUGAGUAACACGUGGGCAACCUGCCUGUAAGAUCGGGAUAACACCGGGAAACCGGUGCUAAUACCGGAUAAUUCUUUUCCUCUCAUGAGGAAAAGCUGAAAGACGGUUUCGGCUGUCACUUACAGAUGGGCCCGCGGCGCAUUAGCUAGUUGGUGAGGUAACGGCUCACCAAGGCGACGAUGCGUAGCCGACCUGAGAGGGUGAUCGGCCACACUGGGACUGAGACACGGCCCAGACUCCUACGGGAGGCAGCAGUAGGGAAUCUUCCGCAAUGGACGAAAGUCUGACGGAGCAACGCCGCGUGAGUGAUGAAGGCCUUCGGGUCGUAAAACUCUGUUGUUAGGGAAGAACAAGUAUCGGAGUCACUGCCGGUACCUUGACGGUACCUAACCAGAAAGCCACGGCUAACUACGUGCCAGCAGCCGCGGUAAUACGUAGGUGGCAAGCGUUGUCCGGAAUUAUUGGGCGUAAAGCGCGCGCAGGCGGUCCUUUAAGUCUGAUGUGAAAGCCCACGGCUCAACCGUGGAGGGUCAUUGGAAACUGGGGGACUUGAGUGCAGAAGAGGAAAGCGGAAUUCCACGUGUAGC